rnacentral:rRNA from 1 species
GGAUAAAUACUGGAAGGUUUUAUUCUUCAAAGCUUCGGCACCUGAGGAUGGGACUGCGUCGGAUUAGCUUGUUGUCGGGAUAAUUACCCGACAAGGCGAUAAUCCGUACGGGUUGUGAGAGCAAUAGCCCGGAGAUGGAUUCUGAGACAUGAAUCCAGGUCCUACGGGACGCAGCAGGCGCGAAACCUUCACAAUGCCUGAAAGGGUGAUGAGGGAACUCUGAGUGACUUCGCAAUGCGAAGUCUUUUGCCAAGUGCAAAAAGCUCGGUGAAUAAGUGGUGGGCAAGACAGUUGCCAGCCGCCGCGGUAAUAACUGCGCCACGAGUGGUGAUCUCGUUUAUUGGGCUUAAAGCGUUCGUAGCCGGUUUUAUAAGCAUCUGGUGAAAUCCGAUAGUAAACUAUUGGGCUGGCUAGGUGUACUGUAAGACUAGGGACCGGUAGGGGCCGGGAGUACUCCUAGGGUAGGGGUUAAAUCCUUUAAUCCUAGGGGGACUACCAGUGGCGAAGGCGCCCGGCUAGAACGGGUCCGACGGUGAGGGACGAAAGCUGGGGGAGCGAUCCGGAUUAGAUACCCGGGUAGUCCCAGCUGUAAACGAUGCCCGCUUGGUGUGGUGAAACUUUCGUGGUUUUGCCGUACCGUAGCGAAAGUGUUAAACGGGCCGCCUGGGAAGUACGACCGC